rnacentral:rRNA from 1 species
AACGGCCCACCGUGCCAAUAAUCGGUACGGGUUGUGAGAGCAAGAGCCCGGAGACGGUAUCUGAGACAAGAUACCGGGCCCUACGGGGCGCAGCAGGCGCGAAACCUUUACACUGCACGCCAGUGCGAUAAGGGGACUCCACCUGCGAGGGCAUAUCGUCCUCGCUUUUCUGCACCGUAAGGUGGUGCAGGAAUAAGUGCUGGGCAAGACCGGUGCCAGCCGCCGCGGUAAUACCGGCAGCACGAGUGAUGACCGCUAUUAUUGGGCCUAAAGCGUCCGUAGCUGGCCUCACAAGUCCAUCGGGAAAUCCGCGCGCCCAACGCGCGGGCGUCCGGUGGAAACUGUGGGGCUUGGGACCGGAAGGCCAGAGGGGUACGUCCGGGGUAGGAGUGAAAUCCCGUAAUCCUGGACGGACCACCGGUGGCGAAAGCGCCUCUGGAAGACGGAUCCGACGGUGAGGGACGAAAGCUCGGGUCACGAACCGGAUUAGAUACCCGGGUAGUCCGAGCUGUAAACGAUGUCUGCUAGGUGUGGCACUGGCUACGAGCCAGUGCUGUGCCGUAGGGAAGCCGUGAAGCAGACCGCCUGGGAAGUACGUCCGCAAGGAUGAAACUUAAAGGAAUUGGCGGGGGAGCACUACAACCGGAGGAGCCUGCGGUUUAAUUGGACUCAACGCCGGACAUCUCACCAGCAUCGACAGCAGGAGUGACGAUCAGGUUGAUGACCUUAUCAGACCUGCUGAGAGGAGGUGCAUGGCCGCCGUCAGCUCGUACCGUGAGGCGUCCUGUUAAGUCAGGCAACGAGCGAGACCCGCACUCCUAAUUGCCAGCAACACCCUCGUGGUGGUUGGGUACAUUAGGAGGACUGCCAGUGCCAAACUGGAGGAAGGAACGGGCAACGGUAGGUCAGUAUGCCCCGAAUGUGCUGGGCAACACGCGGGCUACAAUGGCCGAGACAGUGGGAAGCAACCCCGAAAGGGGACGCUAAUCUCCGAAACUCGGUCGUAGUUCGGAUUGAGGACUGAAACUCGUCCUCAUGAAGCUGGAUUCGGUAGUAAUCGCCGUUCAGAAGACGGCGGUGAAUACGUCCCUGCUCCUUGCACACACCGCCCGUCAAAGCACCCGAGUGGGGUCCGGAUGAGGCCCUGUCACCAGGGUCGAAUCUGGGCUCCGCAAGGGGGCUUAAGUCGUAACAAGGUAGCCGUAGGGGAAUCUGCGGCUG